UGGCAACUUAAAAAUUCUCGUUUGUGGGAUUGUUUUCUACGAAACAAAGCUUUCACUCUUUGGGGUAAGGUCACACUCAUCGAAUCAAAAGGCUUCAUGCCUUCUCUCCCUCAAUCAGAAGCUUCUCUCUCCGUGUCCCUUCUCUCUCCUCCCUCUCGUCGUGUCUCUCUCUACGCGUUAUCUCCCUCUUCUCUCUGCAACGCAGAGAAUAGCCGUCUCUCCGACGAACCAACAUCCCUCAAUCACCACAUCUCCACCCCUUCACCGCCUGAACUCAACUGAGUUUUGUUUCUCUGGAAAACCAGAGAAUCGGAGAGCCGAGCUCGGUUCGAAAUCCAAAGGUAUCCGACGGUUUUCUCGACGAUCUCGACGGCGACUUGCCUCUGGGUUGCCACAAAUCGGCUUCUCGUCAACACAAGUAACUUCUAGACCCCUUGCAGAAAUCAAGAAUGGGUAAAAAACAAAGACGGAUAGGACACUACUCUAGCUCGCAGAAAAUACUCUUGGUUGGUGAGGGAAACUUCUCAUUUUCUGCCUCUUUGGCUAAAGCAUUUCGCUCUGCCACGAACAUGGUUGCUACCACUCUCAAAUCCCAAGAUACUUUAUUGACAGAGCAUAGGAGCUGUGAGGAGCAUUAGGAGGAGUUGAAAAAAAGAGGGUGCUUGGUGUUGUAUGAAGUCAAUGUAUAUGUCAUGCACCGUCAUCCCACACUUAAGUCCAUGAAAUUUUAUGUUAUGAUAUUCAACUUUCCUCAUGCAGGACAUUACCAUCGGCUGUGCGAAAAAGACGAGGAGCUCAUAGAUUUUGUUUAUGCAAUGGUGAGGAUGCAGGACCAGUUAUAUAGCAAAAUGCAGAUUCUUAAAGCUCUCUCUACCCAUAUUAUCAAUUCUCAUAUGGUAUUAUAACUAUUAGUUACUGAAUUACUUUGUCAUAAGUGAUUAAUAUGGAGCUUCAAUGGAGCUAGAUUGCACAGGCAUUUGUUAAAAGCCUUUUUCAAAAGCGCCCGCGGGAUGCUCAGCAAAGGUGGUGAAAUUCAUGUUUCACACAUGGUAGGCUACCCGUAUGAUCAAUGGAAGUUGAAGGAACUUGCUGAGAAAGCAGGCCUGUUUUUGAAAGAGAAAGUGUGGUUCAACAAGUCAGACUACCCUGGUUACAACAGUAAGAGGGGUGGCGGCAUCCAGAGCAACAAAAUGUUUCGUCCGAUUAAAAAAAACAUGUUACACCUUCAAAUUUUCUCUGAAACAAACAAGUUCUGAACUUUCUGUUUGUAAUCCCACAACCAGCAUUGUUAAGUUAUGGCUCUUCACCACCUGGCUAUCAGGGUUACCUUUGUCCUCCAGCUCCCCCAAGCCCCACACCCUCUCCCCUCCUAGACGAUUAUGACCCUCCAGCUCCUCCAAGCCCGCCCUUACCCCCUUCCUGCCAAGACGAUGAUGACCCUCUAGCUCCCCCGACCCCACCUUCACGCCAAGUUGAUGAAGACAAUCGGCUGCUACUCAGUCCUUAGAUGACUGGUAUGUGCAUGCUGUUCCUUCUCCUUACUACCCUUACUAGCUUUCAAUUGCAAUUGAUUUACAAAAGUACCUUACGUUAGUAUACCCGUUCCAUAUUCUAUUAGCUAUGAUGGGUUAUUAGCUGCCUGAUAUGUUUUUUACCCAACUCCUUUUGCACAACUGAUAUUAGUGACCAUUGUCAAUUACCCAAGUUUUCUUAUAAUGCUCCUUAUGUUUUGAUUUUCAUAUUCGACAUGAAUUGGGUAUUGUGUGUUUUACUGUUUGUUGUUUUCUUUCUGUCUUUUUUAGGACAAAUUUUUAAGAAUAAUACUUGCAGUUUCCCCAUUGGGAAUGCACAUAUCCCACAUUUAAUAACGUAUCUUUUUUAUAUAUAUAUAAACUCUAGAAUUAGAAUUAUUUGUUGUGGCCUAUAUUUAACUGACAGGAAGAGGGGGCCGGCGGCACAGAGAAAAUAUAGAGAGAGAGAAAUGUGUUUGUAGGGUUAUGUGGAUGAUGCUUUUAUUUAUAGUAAUAAGAAGAGAGAAGAAUAACUAUAAUCAAAUUUAAUAUAGGAUUUACACAGUUACACUUAAAUAAAGAAGUUUAUAACAUCAUCCAAUUUUUUAAUCAUUAUUCGAACAGAAGGUCAUUUAGUCAUCUUAAUGUAACAUAUAAAUGGACGGUUCAUUAUAAAUAUGUUACUUGAUGCUCAUGCUUUUGGGUGACGAUUUGAAUAAUUUUUUGUAGGUAUGAGAAGGCUAAAAAGUUAAAACGGUUUUAAUUAUAAAAUAUGUAUGGUAAAUAUACUUUAUUCGAAAGAAGUGGAGUAUGUGCAUUUUCACAAGAGAACACAAGUAUCAUCCAAAAUUAAUCUAAUUUCUUGAUGAUUAUCAGCUGUAACUGUAGAAUUUUAGAAUUAAUAGGCCAAUAUGAACCUAGAAUCAAUUCCAUAAGGCGUGACAAUAUCACUGUACUCCUUCGAUGUACUUAGAUUAAGCAUAAACACAGUGAACAGUACGAAAUGAUUGUCCAAUUGAAACUAAGAUUUGUUGCAAUUGAAUUAUUUUUAAAUGCCUUAUAAUACUAUAGGACAACUAAAAUUGCUUUUUGGUUUCCGUUUUUCUUCCACUGCUUCACUGACCCCAGCGGUCUCUUGUUUAAUUUUGCAGUUUGUCUUCAAUUUUUCGCUGCUGGCCGGAUAUUGGACGCUCGCUGCUUUAGUCCGUUAGAUACAUUAGCUCUUUUAUGAACGGUGCUACUGUGUGGUGUUUGGUAAUAAUUUUUUAGUGGUUGAGAUGUCAUGUUUCAUGUUUCCUGCAUUAGAUUUUAAAGAAUGCAGCAUUGUAUUUGGCGUAGACAAGAUUUUGGGGGCAGCUGGAUCUGUGCAAGUAGUCCAAGAAAAAACGGUUAUAUGAGAAUAAGAAAUCGGGCCCUGGUCUCUGGUUUGAGCUUA